rnacentral:rRNA from 2 species
UCCCCUGAGAUCAGCGGCGGACGGGUGAGUAACACGUGGGCAACCUGCCUGUAAGACUGGGAUAACUCCGGGAAACCGGGGCUAAUACCGGAUAAUACUGACCACCACAUGGUGGAAAGUUGAAAGAUGGCUUUUAGCUAUCACUUACAGAUGGGCCCGCGGCGCAUUAGCUAGUUGGUGAGGUAAGGGCUCACCAAGGCGACGAUGCGUAGCCGACCUGAGAGGGUGAUCGGCCACACUGGGACUGAGACACGGCCCAGACUCCUACGGGAGGCAGCAGUAGGGAAUCUUCGGCAAUGGGCGAAAGCCUGACCGAGCAACGCCGCGUGAGCGAUGAAGGCCUUCGGGUCGUAAAGCUCUGUUGUUAGGGAAGAACAAGUACCGUUCGAAUAGGGCGGUACCUUGACGGUACCUAACCAGAAAGCCACGGCUAACUACGUGCCAGCAGCCGCGGUAAUACGUAGGUGGCAAGCGUUGUCCGGAAUUAUUGGGCGUAAAGCGCGCGCAGGCGGUCUCUUAAGUCUGAUGUGAAAGCCCACGGCUCAACCGUGGAGGGCCAUUGGAAACUGGGGGACUUGAGUACUGGAGAGGAGAGUGGAAUUCCAUGUGUAGCGGUGAAAUGCGUAGAUAUAUGGAGGAACACCAGUGGCGAAGGCGGCUCUCUGGCCAGUAACUGACGCUGAGGCGCGAAAGCGUGGGGAGCAAACAGGAUUAGAUACCCUGGUAGUCCACGCCGUAAACGAUGAGUGCUAGGUGUUUGGGGGGUUCCACCCUCAGUGCUGACGUUAACACAUUAAGCACUCCGCCUGGGGGAGUACGGCCGCAAGGCUGAAACUCAAAGGAAUUGACGGGGGCCCGCACAAGCAGUGGAGCAUGUGGUUUAAUUCGAAGCAACGCGAAGAACCUUACCAGGUCUUGACAUCCUUCGCUACUUCUAGAAGAUAGAAAGG